AGGCAAUCGCCAAGAGGCCCUGGCGGCGGAUCACGUUUGAUUUACAGAAGAGAGAUAUUGCAAAGAGAAGUGGCUGGUAUUUUCGGUGAAGUAAAGGGCUGAAUUUGUUCGGGACAACAGAAGGUGUAUAGACGGUGGAACUAGGGCAGAAAUGGACGACAGCGACGACGAUCCGAUUCAAAUAUAUCUGAAAAACUGCGAGAAAUGAGGGUCGUUUUCUCGCUACUGGGACUUGGCCAGACAGGUCAAUGAGAAAUAUCCACAAGAAGAGAUCGACAGGCGGACGGGCAGACCAGGCCUGGUGGAGGUAUAUCUCAACGGAGAGCUGGUCUAUCGUAAGUCUGCCGAUGGGAAAUACCCUUCAUCAGGAGAGAUUGUAGAUGCAAUUCUGGAUAUCUCUGAGGCCAAGAGCAGCUCCUCGCUAGCGGAAAAACGUCACAGCGUCAAGACAACCCCCGACAUCUCCUGAGUCAGGCCCAAGUUUCCCAAGGAUUCCAGUGGCGGUGGCGGGAACCAAAAUUACCCGGAUGUGUGCGGUAACCCGGAUGUUCAAACGGACUCGUCUGCUUGCGUCGUGGACGUGGGAGUGAAGGAUGACGGGAAGAAGUUUCGAACGGAGUCACGUAGUUCUGGCAUAUCCCGUCUGUGUUCCAUACUGUAGUUUGUUCAUCAGAGAUCCUUAAAAUGUUAUCUUUUAGUUUCCUAUGACAUGCAUUACAAUUCCAACGAAUUCCUGUUUUCGCAACCAAGUUUUCAUCAGUUCAGUCUCUGUAUUUAAUACUAUGUUGAGCGAAUCACUACCUGGUCAAUACCUUAGUAAUAUCAUACUAUAAGAACUAUUUUCAGCUUAUAUAGCUACAAUCCAACACCAUGUUGUGAUGGUCUCACGAAUGCUAGCUCAUAUCUCGCUUCCUCAGAGCUGCUCCAUAGGUAGGUCUAGCUACAGAUAUAUACUAGGGACAUUUCUCAGCGAACCAUUUCUAUAGAAGACGAAUUCUUGCAACAGCUUGUACAAGGCUAACACACGAAAGUGUCUACUUUUUCAACUUAUAAACUUAUACCGAAAUACAGGGAACAGAAGUAGUCAUAGAAAAGUCAAUGUUCCGCUUUGUGUAUUUUGGAAAACAUCCGGAGUAUACUCAGAUACAUGUAUAGAACUAAUUGUUGUCGGUACAAAUGUAGUAAGUUUGUAACAUUCGUUAUGAUAUGUAUUGUGAUGUGUAUACAGACACCCGGGCGUUAGAAUGAAGCGGUCUUAAUGAGGACCUUCGCCGAAACGAAACUAUUUCGGGGCGGAGAUCUGAGAAUCUGACCGUUUUAUAAGUAUCGUUAGUUGUUUUCUACAAUGUAAAAGAUUUUGUAUGUUCGUAUUCAUGUUUUGAAUCCAUUG